GGGGGUCUUAUAUUGACAUUAAGGUUUGACUGGUUUAUUUCAGUUAAAUAUGCGUUCCACACACCGCUCGCAACUCCAUCAAACCAACCCCUCCUCCUUUCCUCAUUCAUUGGUUCAGUGGUGUAACAACACAAAAAUUUAUCACAUAAAACAAUAACAUUAAGAGACAAAUUAUUGAACAACGCAUACUCGCAGCUACUGUGAAUUUCAA
rnacentral:lncRNA from 1 species